GGAUUCACCCGUGAAGAUUUCAUGAUUGAGGCCUUUUUACACAUGACAGCUGCUGAGCAGGUUGAUCUGUUUGUAGCCACACCAAAUAAUAUCCCUGCAGAAAGGUUUGAAGUUUAUGGAGUGGCACUUGCCCUUGUUGCUCAAGCUGUUACUGGUAAAAAGCCUCAUCUUAUCCCAGAUGCUGAUAGCCAAUUCCAACAACUCCAACAGAUGAAGGUAUCAAGUCAUGCAAGUGCUGUCUCUGUUUAUAGUCUCGAACAAAACCAUGAGAUAGACUUUGCUCUGGAGAGGGGUCUUUGUUCACUUCUUGUAGGGGAGCUUGAUGAGUGUCGUACAUGGUUGGGCCUAGACAGUGAUAGUUCACCUUACAGAAAUCCACCCAUUGUAGAUUUUGUGAUGCAAAAUUCAAAGAGUGAUGAUGAUAGUGAUCUUCCUGGGCUUUGCAAACUGUUGGAGACCUGGUUGAUGGAAGUGGUUUUUCCUAGAUUUAGAGACACCAAAGAUAUGCAGUUUAAGCUUACAGACUAUUAUGAUGAUCCGACUAUCUUAAGAUAUUUAGAGAGGCGGGAGGGAGGGGGUCAUUCACCCUUGGCUGCAGCUGCAGCCAUAGUGAGGAUUGGGGCUGAGGCUACUGCUGUUAUUGAUCAUGUGAAGACUAGUGCAAUUCAGGCAUUGCAGAAGGUGUUUCCUCUCAGUCAGAAGGGUGAGAGUACAGGAUUGGAAGAAAGUAGUGGUUUGAAUUAUCCUGUUCUUUCUGUCCAGGGUGAAGUCCCUCUGCAAGAACUUGAUGCUGAUUACCCUGCCAUAAAGGCUGAAACUUCUGGAAAAAAUAGUUAUGAUGAAGUGCCUGAAGAGGAUUUGAUUAUUGAGAGAAUAAAAGAUGCAAGUGUGAAGAUCAUGUGUGCUGGUGUGGCAAUUGGACUGAUGACUUUAGUUGGCUUGAAAUAUUUGCCUGCUAGGAAUGGCUCCUUCAUUCGUCGUAAUGAAAUUGGUUCAGCAAUGGCCUCCGACACCAUCAAUGUGGGGUUCUCACUAGAUGACAAAUCUGUAGAGGAAAUGCCCAGAAUGGAUGCAAAGUUUGCAGAGUAUAUGGUUCGCAAGUGGCAGAACAUUAAAUCUCGGGCUUUUGGACCUGACCACUCUCAAGGAGAACUGCCCAAGGUGUUGGAUGGUCAGAUGUUAAAAACAUGGACUGAUCGUGCAGCUGAAAUAGCACAGCUUGGUUGGGUAUAUGACUAUGAGCUGUUGGAUCUGACCAUUGACAGCGUGACUGUUUCUCUAGAUGGGCAACAUGCAGUAGUGGAAGCAACUCUCAAUGAGUCAGCAUGCUUAAUUGAUGCAGUUCGCCCAGAGAACAAUGCCUCAAACAUCACAACUUACACAACGAGAUACGAGAUGUCAUGCUCAAAUUCAGGAUGGAAAAUCACCAAAGGAGCAAUAAUGAUGUAAAAGAGGACAUUUGAUUGUAAAUGCAAUCUUUGUUUCUGUUUUACUUGUCCAUAUUUUCAUUGGAUUGGAUGCAACUUUUUCACAAUCUAUUUGUGUUAUUUUCAUGUACUUUUUUUAUUGUUGAUGUGGAAUCUGACAGGCACUGACAGAACUAUUCAGAAUGAUGGCCAGCGCAGUAAAAUAUAUA
rnacentral:misc_RNA from 1 species